rnacentral:rRNA from 1 species
GUGGGGAAUAUUGGACAAUGGGGGGAACCCUGAUCCAGCCAUGCCGCGUGUGUGAAGAAGGCCUUUUGGUUGUAAAGCACUUUAAGCGAGGAGGAGGCUACCGAGAUUAAUACUCUUGGAUAGUGGACGUUACUCGCAGAAUAAGCACCGGCUAACUCUGUGCCAGCAGCCGCGGUAAUACAGAGGGUGCAAGCGUUAAUCGGAAUUACUGGGCGUAAAGCGCGCGUAGGUGGCCAAUUAAGUCAAAUGUGAAAUCCCCGAGCUUAACUUGGGAAUUGCAUUCGAUACUGGUUGGCUAGAGUAUGGGAGAGGAUGGUAGAAUUCCAGGUGUAGCGGUGAAAUGCGUAGAGAUCUGGAGGAAUACCGAUGGCGAAGGCAGCCAUCUGGCCUAAUACUGACACUGAGGUGCGAAAGCAUGGGGAGCAAACAGGAUUAGAUACCCCUGUAGUCC